ensembl:lncRNA
GUGUUUCUUCCUCGGCAGCAGGUUCGAGCCCUUGUGUCGUCGGCCGUGUCCUUUUCUGCAGGGCAGCUGAGCUGCGGCUUUGGGAAUCGGGGCCCAGUGGCUCCCCAUCCUCUGUCAUGCGGUUUGGAACAGAGCGGAGCCAUUGACUGAAUUUCUAACGUAGGUGUUCGUAUAAAACACACGUGGCACUGGCUUGUAGGUAGAUGAUAGGAAUAGGAAAUUUGGAGAAAAACAUCAGAUAGACGUACAGAACAUGCACCCGCAAGCGUUUCAAAAGCAAAGCCAGAACAAUCUGAUAAAGGAUCUUGGGUGACAAGGAAAAAAGAACUCGAUGCUCCAGGCUCCUAGUUGCCUGCUGCACAGGUGCCCUGAGGUCCCAGUGGGCCCCAGACUCCAGCAAGUGGGGGCCAAGGUUGGCCCCGGUGUGCGGGCGUCCAAGGCGGGGCUUUCCGGCCCGCAGCCUCCUCCUGCCCGUGACAUCUCCAAGCCAGCCGGGGGCCAAACGUCCAGGUUCAGCCAUUGGAAAGGCGGUCACGGAUGAGAGAGGUCUGGGAGUGAAAACAGUGCUAAGGCAGAAUUAAUGCUUUUCCACGUGGCUCUCACGGUUAUCACAGUGUAAAAUUGCUCGAGGUACACACACACACAAAAGUACAUUUUGAAUGGAUUUCAUUUUAAAACAAAAACUGUCUAAAGGUAGUCAUUGUUUUCGAAUGCUUGCUUCCUUUCAAAACACUUAGGUUUCAUGUUCCGUCAGAACUCUCUAAGGCUUGGUGUUGCCGGACCAGUGCCGAGCACACCGCUCCGCUUCCCGCAGCCCACCGGGGCCUGCUGCCUGAGAGGCUGGGCUUCCUGUGCCGGGCGCGGGCUCCGGCUGCCCUGAGCCAGGCCGUGCUCAGGCUCACGGAAGGCUUCCCUCCCCUCUUCACUUCUCACAGUAGACGGGUCCCCAUUUUGGCUCCGUCGAUUUUCAACCUUGAUGGCUCUGACUACAUAAAUAGGAACCUAAUUUACCCCUCAACUCUCCUCCGGCAAGGUCAGUCUCUUCCUUAACACGUGGGAACCUGUCAGAUAGGCCGGGUCAUCUUUUCUUGGCAUCACCCCUUCUGGUCUUCGUGUUCUGCUCUGGUCUGAGUGGCCACUGCCAGGCCCAGGUCCCCGCUGCCCCCCCCCGCCACCCGGCCCCUUCCCCAUCAUCCUGGGGCCUCCCUCUCCGUCUCUCCUGCUCUGGGGUCUCCGGAGGUCUGUGGUUUUAGUCUCUCAUUUGGGGGGAACCCUCUCCAGGGGCUUCCUGAUGGAGAGUGUCCGUAUCUGGGACCCGACCAGGUCUUCACUCUGCCCCACGUCAGCUGUGGCUGAGUGUGGAAUUCGGCUUGGAAAGCUCUGGCCCGGGGGCUGGGAAGCAGCAGCCGGCCUCCCGCUGGAGAGGGCGACCUGCCCUCCCGCCUGCUUUCCCGUCCUGGGCCUUUUAGACUCGGGUCGUGGUCGUCUUUUCAGGCAUCAGGAAAGCUCGCCCUGGUGCGGGGCUUGUUUUCCUGCCCCGUUUUCCUGUCCUCCGAAACUUGUUAUUCAGAUGCUGGCCCCGUGCACUCGUCUGCUGCUUUUUCUCAUUUCUCGCUUUCCACGUCUUCGCCUUUUUGGAUGUUUUUUCUUGGAGAAGAUCUCAGCCUCCCAAUCUUUGUGAACUUGUAUCCAUCACAUUCUUAACUUUGGAGCUUUCUCUCUUCUUCCUUCAGUGUUUCAUUAUUCUGACUUGUUCCGGUUCAUAGAUUCAAUGUCUUCUGUCACUUCAUUGGUGACUCUCACUGCACCUUAAAACAAACAAAAAAAAA